GGGACUCACCUGAAAUUGCUGGUUAGAAAGGGAAGCAGUGGCCCACUUUUCAGUAGAUUUUAUACUUCUCAAGACGUGAACAUUCCGGGGCAGGUAAAGUUCCUAUGGAAAGUGCUUAGUGUCCACGAGAUUGGCUAUAAAAACAACCGUGAAUAUGACUAGCUUUGAGAGUCAGAAACUCUGAUCAUCUGCCAAGGCUCUCCACCGGCAAGAAAAAGGUGAAGGCAGAACUGGCACUGAUCAUCUUCUGAAUUCCCUUUCAAGGUUGAAAAUAUGGAUAGCACAGCCCAAUCUUUGCUAUUGAUGUUCUUAUGAGCCAAAUGGUUGUUGCAAAAUAAGAUUCUAGUCAUUGUGUCUAAGCCCAAAGCCAUGAGAUGGAGGAAUACACUCUUCCCUCAUUGAGGAGUUGACUCUCCUAUAAGUCAUGAAACUUAUGAAUUUGAAGCAAGUAGAAGCCUGCUAAGUUCUUGUGCACCGAGGCUUUUCUUUUGGAAUGCCGUCUUGAGACCACCAUGAUAUGGAGAAACUCCCCGGGAAGGAGCCCAGGUGAAAGGCCAUGUGGAGAGAGAGGUCCAGCCAUUCCAGGCUUUGCAGAUAAGUUCAAACCCUGGCCAAUUAGCCAGCUUAAUGCAGCAUAUGAGGGAGCCCAGGGUUUCUGCAAGUGGAUUAAUCAGCCCUGUGUAUUCAUUCUACCACCAGAGCAACAAUUCAUUUUGAUUAUUAUGUUA